ensembl:lncRNA
UUACCCCAUGUAUUUAAGUUCGAGUCUGUGCUGUCUGUCUUUGUCCGAGAUUGUACAUCAACACUUGUGCUACCUUUGUUCCUGCCUGCCCCUUGGAUUUUGAUUUAAAGAACUGCUGUUUGAGUUUACUCUUCGUCUCCUUGUUCCUCACUGCUCUCCAUAGAUGAUAAAAGAUGAAAUAUUUAGAUUAAAUAAACGUUGAAAGAGGGAUCUGAGCCAUAUCUGGCAAACACCCACAAUAUUAUGGCUGCUACUUUUGGUUUGGCACUGACUGAAAGCUGGCAGACACCCGGAACAAACCCGUUGUUUGUCAGAGGUGUCACACGACGAGAGCACCGCAUCCCUGUCCUCUCAUGCUCCUCAUUUCCUCUUCAAGCAAAGCUUGUUUAGAGUGGGCGUCGGCCGUGUGUGUGUGUGUGUGUGAUAGGGAGCCUGAGGGAUGUGAGUCGGCACGGCUCUCAGAGUAAUUGAAAAUGUGACCUAGAAAAUGUUUGCCCAGCAGAGCAUGAAAGUUACCUCCGGAGUGCCGGCUGAAGCUCACCUGUGGUGCGGACUGGGAGGGCCUGGGAAUGCUGGGAUAUCGGGCUGAGAGCCACUUUAUCCCUGCAGAGCCAUGCACACCGACGUCUCAUGCAUUAUUCACAGCCUCUAAAUAAGCACAGAUCAGACCACUAAAACCCAACCUGCUGGCCCUUUCCUGAGGAGUACCUCUCUUACCACUGACCUCUGCAAGGGCAUCGCAGAUCUGUAAGUGAGUGAGUGUAUGUGUAGGCCAAUGUGUGAAAGAGAAAGAGACAGGAGAGUUUAGAUUGACAGUAAAAUAAAUAUAGUGCAUUUCAUAACUCUGUACUUUUUAAUGCGUUGUUUAAAAACAAUUAUG